rnacentral:lncRNA from 1 species
AGUGUCAAGUUUUUGAUUGGUCUAAUUAACAAAAGAUUGAAGGCUUAAUCAGUACAUGCAAUAUUAACAAUAGAAAUACGAACAUAACUGGUUUGAGUGACCGUAUUAAUUUCCACUCUAAGUACUCCAGACUGCUCUCAAUGAGCGCAUGUAUGCAUUGCGUACCUAUUUUUCAUUCAUGAGCUGGGGUAGCGGGAAAAUUUGCAUUUUGUCAACACCACGUGUGGAACAGCUUCUGCGUCCGGUAGCCUGGUCGCUGACAUGGGAAAGCGCUUCGAACUGCGGAAUACGGAACUGGAAAUUUGCCCUAACAUGCGAGGUACAUGAUGGUCAGAAACAGAAUGCUUCGCAACCAGCUUUUUAACUACUUGACAAACAGUGCAACAAUAAUAUUGGGAAUUUUUUACUUUCAGGACGAAGUAGCACAUAGUUUCUGCAUCUUUUUGGAUGAUCUUACUGAAGAUUGCUUUAUCGAUAGCACAAGUCACAAAAGCAGGAAUGGAACAGAAACUCAAUGCAUCAUAGCUUGGUUGAAGUAAGACGUGAGGAGCUCAAGAAAGGAGGAAAAAACAGGAAAAGUGCCUUGGAAUAAAAAUUUGCUCUUUUCAAGCGAAAAAAAUAAAAACAUUUAAGUCCAUUGGCGCGAAAAUUGUUUUGGGAUUAAAAAGUUGCACUUUUAAAGCGACCGGAAAAAAAACACAAGUCUUUUAAGUGAUAUUAUUUUUUGGUUAUUGCGCUUUUAAAAGGGACCAAAACAAAGUCGGAAAAAAGCUAAGUCUUU